rnacentral:rRNA from 1 species
CCUACGGGAGACAGCAGUGAGGAAUAUUGGUCAAUGGACGAGAGUCUGAACCAGCCAAGUAGCGUGAAGGAUGACUGCCCUCUGGGUUGUAAACUUCUUUUAUAUGGGAAUAAAAUGUUCCACGUGUGGGAUUUUGUAUGUACCAUAUGACUAAGGCUCGGCUAACUCCGUGCCAGCAGCCGCGGUAAUACGGAGGAUCCGAGCGUUAUCCGGAUUUAUUGGGUUUGAUGGGAGCGUAGGUGGGUUGUUAAGUUAGUUGUGAAAGUGUGCGGCUCAACCGUAAAAUUGCAGUUGAAACUGGCAGUCUUGAGUACAGUAGAGGUGAGCGGAAUUCGUGGUGUAGCGGUGAAAUGCUUAGAUAUCACGAAGAACUCCGAUUGCGAAGGCAGUUCACUGGACUGCAAAUGACACUGAGGCUCGAAAGUGUGGGUAUCAAACAGGAUUAGAUACCCCAGUAGUC